rnacentral:rRNA from 1 species
CAGGACGAACGCUGGCGGCGCGCCUAACACAUGCAAGUCGAACGAGCGAGAGAGAGCUUGCUUUCUCGAGCGAGUGGCGAACGGGUGAGUAACGCGUGAGGAACCUGCCUCAAAGAGGGGGACAACAGUUGGAAACGACUGCUAAUACCGCAUAAGCCCACGGCUCGGCAUCGAGCAGAGGAAAGGAGUGAUCCGCUUUGAGAUGGCCUCGCGUCCGAUUAGCUAGUUGGUGAGGUAACGGCCCACCAAGGCGACGAUCGGUAGCCGGACUGAGAGGUUGAACGGCCACAUUGGGACUGAGACACGGCCCAGACUCCUACGGGAGGCAGCAGUGGGGAAUAUUGCACAAUGGGGGAAACCCUGAUGCAGCGACGCCGCGUGGAGGAAGAAGGUCUUCGGAUUGUAAACUCCUGUUGUUGAGGAAGAUAAUGACGGUACUCAACAAGGAAGUGACGGCUAACUACGUG